rnacentral:rRNA from 1 species
CCUACGGGUGGCAGCAGUGGGGGAUAUUGCACAAUGGGGGAAACCCUGAUCCAGCGACGCCGCGUGAGUGAAGAAGUAUUUCGGUAUGUAAAGCUCUAUCAGCAGGGAAGAAAAUAAUGACGGUAGAUGAUUAAGAAGCGGCGGCUAACUCCGUGCCAGCAGCCGGGGUAAUACGUAGGGGGCACGCGUUAUCCGGAUUUGGUGGGUGGAAAGGGAGCGUAGACGGUACUGCAAGUCUGGAGUGAAAGGCGGGGGCUCAACCCUCGUACUGCUAUGGAAAAUAUGGAACUAGAGUGCAGGAGAGGAAAGCAGAAUUCCUAGUGUAGCGGUGAAAUGCGUAGAUAUUAGGAGGAACACCAGUGGCGAAGGCGGCUUUCUGGACUGUAACUGACGUUGAGGCUCGAAAGCGUGGGGAGCAAACAGGAUUAGAUACCCUGGUAGUC